AAACCUGCGGAGUGAUCAUUACCGAGUUUACAACUCCCAAACCCCUGUGAACAUACCUUAAUGUUGCCUCGGCGGAUCAGCCCGCGCCCCGUAAAACGGGACGGCCCGCCAGAGGACCCAAACUCUAAUGUUUCUUAUUGUAACUUCUGAGUAAAACAAACAAAUAAAUCAAAACUUUCAACAACGGAUCUCUUGGUUCUGGCAUCGAUGAAGAACGCAGCAAAAUGCGAUAAGUAAUGUGAAUUGCAGAAUUCAGUGAAUCAUCGAAUCUUUGAACGCACAUUGCGCCCGCUGGUAUUCCGGCGGGCAUGCCUGUUCGAGCGUCAUUUCAACCCUCAAGCCCCCGGGUUUGGUGUUGGGGAUCGUGAAAGUUUUGAUUUAUUUGGUUGUUCCACUCACGAAAUACAUUGGCGGUCUCGCUGCAGCCUCCAUUGCGUAGUAGCUAACACCUCGCAACUGGAACGCGGCGCGGCCAUGCCGUAAAACCCCAACUUCUGAAUGUUUGGAGAUGAAACCCCGUAUGUUCCACCGGCUUCCCGAC
rnacentral:rRNA from 1 species